ensembl:snRNA U6 U6 spliceosomal RNA
AUGCUCACACCAACAGCAAAUAUACUAAAAUUGGAACAAUACAGAGAAGAUUAGCACGUUCUCUGUGCAAAGAUGACUCAAAUCCAUGAAGCAUUCCAUAUUUAA